rnacentral:rRNA from 1 species
UACGAAGGGGGCUAGCGUUGCUCGGAAUCACUGGGCGUAAAGGGUGCGUAGGCGGGUCUUUAAGUCAGGGGUGAAAUCCUGGAGCUCAACUCCAGAACUGCCUUUGAUACUGAAGAUCUUGAGUUCGGGAGAGGUGAGUGGAACUGCGAGUGUAGAGGUGAAAUUCGUAGAUAUUCGCAAGAACACCAGUGGCGAAGGCGGCUCACUGGCCCGAUACUGACGCUGAGGCGCGAAAGCAUGGGGAGCGAACAGG